rnacentral:rRNA from 1 species
AAACCAACAGGGAUUGCCUUAGUAGCGGCGAGUGAACCGGCAAAAGCUCAGAUUUGAAAGCCUCUUUUGGCAUUGUAUUCUGAAGCCUUGGUCCUGGGACCUGGUGCUUAAGUCUUCUGGAAAGGAGCGCCAUGGAGGGUGAUAGCCCCGUGAAGCACUAACCCCAUUGUAGGAUCUUGGCAUGGAGUCGAGUUGUUUGGGAAUGCAGCUCAAAUGGGUGGUAUGCUCCAUCUAAAGCUAAAUAUCUGCGAGAGACCGAUAGCGAACAAGUACUGUGAAGGAAAGAUGAAAAGAACUUUGAAAAGAGAGUGAAAUAGUACGUGAAAUUGUUGAAAUGGAAGGAUAGGCCGCUAACCACGCAGAGUCGUGUUUAGGGGGAGGACAAAAGCUGUAUACUUCAUCAUUCUUCGGAGUGAUGUCGUUGCGGUGCAUACUCCCACCUGGGCGCGAGGAUCUAAGACUCUGCUAAAUGGUGGUCUAUCAC